CGGACAAUGAGGCGGCAAUAAAAAUGAUUCAUAUGCCCCGCGCCUAUUAGUAUGCACAUCGCUGUGCACUUGUGCCUUGUGUCACCGGCGAUGCACCCCCUUGCAUUGUUCGAAAUCUGCGGAGGUGGCGCGCGAUAACACGCGGAUCCGCCGCUCUCUCGAAAACAGAAAUAUCGAUACGUACAACGUAGUAGCUGCGAUAUCUUUAGAUGUCUGCUAUUGCCUUCUGUAUUUUUAGAUCUUGUGUGUAUCGUACGCACAGCGUCUAAUGGUCAGGGAGAAAAGUAAAUUUACAUAAAUUCCAUAAGCUGUAUGGAAAAUCAACGAGCAGAUACGAACCGUAUAAUGUAGAUUCUACGCAGAUUCAUCAAUUGAACUAUCGUUGCGAUAUCGAGAAUAAUCUGGCGUUGCCGGACGAAGUCGCGUGGAAGACGGAUACGGUGUGAUCUCGACGAAGGCUCUAUGUUAAGUGCCGGACAGGAUUUUUCGUUUCGUGGGGUAGAAGAUAUUGCUCGCAGUGGGGAAAAGGGCGGGGAAGGGGAGAAAGACUCAGCGCUGAUAAUCUAAUCUUUGUCGAGAGUUUCUUCGUUAGACAUAUGUACGUACACAGGAUGGUGCACAUAAGAACAAUGCUGGGGAUGUUUGUCGCAAAUUCCGACUGUGAGUGCAAGAUAAAGGACAUUGUACGUGAAAAAAUUUUUCUUGUAAUCGUAAGGCCGUAAGCAGACCGACCAAUCAUGGUUACUACAUUAUGAAAAUGUUUGUAGCCAAUGCCUCAAAAAAAGAACAAUAAAGGAGAGAAGAAAUGGUAUAAGAAAAGAAGAUUAACAUUAGAAUGCUGCGAUACGAGCGCUGGGGAAACGGAAUAACAAUAUAUAUAUAUAAAUGCACAUAAGUAAAUAACAUAUUAUAAGAAGAGUAAACAAGCUUGAAGAAAAUUUGAAAGAAAAUUUAUAUUUCUGAUUGUAUCUAUCUAUUUUAAAGAUAAUUUAUAAAUUUUUUGGGAAAUAUAAUAAUUGUAUUUUACCCACACAGCAUGCAUAAUAUCCAAAAGACGAAUUCAGAAGAUAUCUUAUUCUGGUCAAAAAUAUUUUUAAGCGAUAAGAUAUCUUCGGGAUGGUUAUAAACGUGUGUGGAUACAUAAACUAUAUAGGUUGGAAAGGCUUUUAUUUUUUGUGAAAAUAAUUCAUUGUUGCUACUAUGCA